rnacentral:rRNA from 1 species
CAGGCUUAACACAUGCAAGUCGAGGGGCAUCAGGAAGAAAGCUUGCUUUCUUUGCCGGCGACCGGCGCACGGGUGAGUAACACGUAUCCAACCUGCCCUUUACUCGGGGAUAGCCUUUCGAAAGAAAGAUUAAUACCCGAUAGCAUAAUGAUUCCGCAUGGUUUCAUUAUUAAAGGAUUCCGGUAAAGGAUGGGGAUGCGUUCCAUUAGGUUGUUGGUGAGGUAACGGCUCACCAAGCCUUCGAUGGAUAGGGGUUCUGAGAGGAAGGUCCCCCACAUUGGAACUGAGACACGGUCCAAACUCCUACGGGAGGCAGCAGUGAGGAAUAUUGGUCAAUGGGCGCUAGCCUGAACCAGCCAAGUAGCGUGAAGGAUGAAGGCUCUAUGGGUCGUAAACUUCUUUUAUAUAAGAAUAAAGUGCAGUAUGUAUACUGUUUUGUAUGUAUUAUAUGAAUAAGGAUCGGCUAACUCCGUGCCAGCAGCCGCGGUAAUACGGAGGAUCCGAGCGUUAUCCGGAUUUAUUGGGUUUAAAGGGAGCGUAGGUGGACUGGUAAGUCAGUUGUGAAAGUUUGCGGUUCAACCGUAAAAUUGCAGUUGAUACUGUCAGUCUUGAGUACAGUAGAGGUGGGCGGAAUUCGUGGUGUAGCGGUGAAAUGCUUAGAUAUCACGAAGAACUCCGAUUGCGAAGGCAGCUCACUGGACUGCAACUGACACUGAUGCUCGAAAGUGUGGGUAUCAAACAGGAUUAGAUACCCUGGUAGUCCACACAGUAAACGAUGAAUACUCGCUGUUUGCGAUAUACAGUAAGCGGCCAAGCGAAAGCAUUAAGUAUUCCACCCGGGGAGUACGCCGGCAACGGUGAAACUCAAAGGAAUUGACGGGGGCCCGCACAAGCGGAGGAACAUGUGGUUUAAUUCGAUGAUACGCGAGGAACCUUACCCGGGCUUAAAUUGCAGUGGAAUGAUGUGGAAACAUGUCAGUGAGCAAUCACCGCUGUGAAGGUGCUGCAUGGUUGUCGUCAGCUCGUGCCGUGAGGUGUCGGCUUAAGUGCCAUAACGAGCGCAACCCUUAUCUUCAGUUACUAACAGGUCAUGCUGAGGACUCUGGAGAGACUGCCGUCGUAAGAUGUGAGGAAGGUGGGGAUGACGUCAAAUCAGCACGGCCCUUACGUCCGGGGCUACACACGUGUUACAAUGGGGGGUACAGAAGGCAGCUAGCGGGUGACCGUAUGCUAAUCCCAAAAUCCUCUCUCAGUUCGGAUCGAAGUCUGCAACCCGACUUCGUGAAGCUGGAUUCGCUAGUAAUCGCGCAUCAGCCACGGCGCGGUGAAUACGUUCCCGGGCCUUGUACACACCGCCCGUCAAGCCAUGGGAGCCGGGGGUACCUGAAGUACGUAACCGCAAGGAUCGUCCUAGGGUAAAACUGGUGACUGGGGCUAAG